rnacentral:rRNA from 3 species
UGUCGUAACAAGGUUUCCGUAGGUGAACCUGCGGAAGGAUCAUUA